rnacentral:lncRNA from 1 species
AGUCUCUGUGGGUUGCUGCUGGGUUGUUGAUGCUGAAUGUCAGCCACCAUCCAGAUCCGGCUGCCAGGGACAGCUGGGGGCAGGGACAGAGGCAGACUUCACAUGAAUGUCAGCCGACGCAGACCACGAGCAAGCUUCCAGCCCAAUGUCUCCCCUGCGGCUCCUGCUUUGGAUAAACUCGAGGUUAUUCCCCCCUCCCUGGUGGCUGGACUCAGGUCUUGAAUCUUCUCCUGCCCCUGCCACAGUGCCUGACAUAUUGUGGGUGCUCAGACAAGAUUUGCUGAAUCAAUGACUCUCAAAAAGUGGCAUUUUCGGGUGUCAUGAGAGGACAAUAUUUCCAAGAUGGCACCGCUCAUCUCUCUGUCUUUUCCAUCUGACCGACUGUGGAGCUGAUGGAAUUGAAUAUUUAUUCCAAAAUGAACCUCAGUUUGAUCCUGAAAAAGACAAUGACCCUGUCACAGCCCACGACGACAGGGUAGCAGGACACUCAGUGCACAGGCUCUCUGGGAAAUGUCCCGCCCUCAGCACGGGCCUCUGACAGAACUGCCCGGCACCUGUGCACGACCCCAGAAAGAUGAAGGUGAUGUGGAUCAUGGCCUCUCAGUCAAUGGCUGCAGAUAUUUCAGUCUCAGGUGUCAGAUGCCGAAGCCACCUUCACUGCCUCCUCCUGCAGGCUCUACAUGGCCCCAGCAGCCCACUGGUGAUGUCACACUUGAAGGACCCUGGUCUGUAAUGAGCCUCCACGAGUAGGGCUGGCUGGAGCCACACUAGAGUCCUCUCUCGGUGCUUCAAAGCCUGGAGAAGCCCCCUUCUCUAAUUAGGUAAUAACAGAGGGAGGCAACCAUGUGACUCAAUAGCAGCAGCUCCUCUGAAUGUGCCUUUGCCCGCACUCCUCAGCAAAGCCACUUUUAGCUUCCAAAUUGUGCAGGUGGAGGAGGGAGGGACACAAAGGCCAGAGCCGUUACCAGUUCCCCAAGCCCCAGUGAGACCCUGCCCCAGGAGAAGGCUGUCUGUGCCCACCGGACAAGGGCUCAUCCCAGCCCCAAUCCUCUCCCAACCGGCCAUAAAUCCUACAAUUAGCUGCUCUGUGAGUUUCACCAUCCCUGGAUCCUCAGCCCCAGCCCCGGCACUGAGCCUCGCCUCACACUGCUGCUGUCCCCAGAGCAAGCUUACACCUUCACUGAACUCAUCCACCCACCCAGCCACAGUACCUCCCCUUCUGAGAAACCUUCCCUGACUGCCACGGCAGAUGUGGUGCCUUUUUCUCUUCUCUGACAGUGCAGUGGGCACAGCCCAAGUUGUCCUGUGGCCCGGCAAUGUGGCGAGAUUCGUUUGUCAAAUGCCUGCCACAGCAGCUCAUGCCUCUGGGCCCCUGGACGCCUGGUACAAGACUGUGAGCUGCUCCUCCCCUGGCUGGGCCAG